rnacentral:tRNA from 1 species
GCGCCCGUAGCUCAACAGGAUAGAGCAUUGGAUUCCGGUUCCAAAGGUUGGGGGUUCAACUCCCUUCGGGCGUG